UACGAAGGGGGCUAGCGUUGCUCGGAAUCACUGGGCGUAAAGGGUGCGUAGGCGGGUUUUUAAGUCAGGGGUGAAAUCCUGGAGCUCAACUCCAGAACUGCCUUUGAUACUGAAGAUCUCGAGUCCGGGAGAGGUGAGUGGAACUGCGAGUGUAGAGGUGAAAUUCGUAGAUAUUCGCAAGGAACACCAGUGGCGAAGGCGGCUCACUGGCCCGGUACUGACGCUGAGGCACGAAGCCAGGGGAGCAAACGGG
rnacentral:rRNA from 1 species